rnacentral:lncRNA from 1 species
AGACUGUAUGUAUCAUGUUACUAGUAACAUUAUUUAUUCAGCUAGUUUAGAUAGUUAUUCCCAUUUUGAACUUGGAAUCUACUCAUCAAUUGCUCUCAGCAAAUGUGAUUGGGUGGAGGUCUAUUGGGAUAUGUGAAUUAGGCAUAGCCAAUCAGAUCCCCACUUUUCCCUGUUGUCAAUGAUUAGUUCAUGGACACUCAGGUGAUGCCAUCAGAGCCAAAGAAAUAUCAUGAGACUUUUUGGAGACUUCCGAGAUAGAGGGAGGUUCUAGAGGGAAAUUUUGGGAAGCUGAGAUUAUGUAUUUCUGGAGUUGCUCAAGUUCUCUAAGGAAGGAGCCUGUCUGUAAAUAGAACAGGCAAUAGAUUUUCUUUCACUUGCAAGAAAAAAUUUCUAAUUGAUAAAAAUCAUACACAUAAAACAAUAAGCCAUAUAUUUAUUGCAGUAUGCAUGCAGGACUCACUAACAAGCACUCUUAUUUAUGGAUCAUUGAUUAAUAAACAUGACAAUUAUGUCCACUGUAAACCUAGAGCAAUUCCAAUUACACACAUCUGUUCAUUAAAUGCAGACAGUAGUUUAUACCAUGUUUGUAUCAUAUUAAAUACUAACAUUUAAAAUAUUUUUUCUUUAGAAAUUUUGUGUGUCUGGAGUUUUAACUUUUCAUUAUAAUUGUCUUUAUUAGCUCCUAAUCUCAUAUUUAUGAAGGAUUGGGAUUAGUUGGAAUAUUGAUGAAAAACUGUACAUGCAACACAGAGAAAAUGAUCAUAAACACAAAAUACUGUGUCAGGAAGCCUAUGGAUUUUCUGAAGCCCAUACAUGGAUAAGGGCCCUUGGUCUAUCAGAAAAUGAACCCUUGAAAUUUUUGAUUUCUGAGAUUUUCUUGAAGUUUUCUUUAUUAUCUACUAUGUGAUAGAUUUUUAGACAUUCUAGGGAUGCUUGAGAAUAAUGCGUAUUCACUCUUUAUAGAAUAUUGAAUCUAAAUAAAUCAAUCUUAAUUCAAAUUUAAUUUGUAAAUAUUUGUCAUUUUUCUCUUGAACUCAUAAUGUUUACAUAUUUUUAUGAUACUAAGUAAUGAUUUAUAAUUGUUAUGUAUUAUUGACUUAACCCCUUAUCUAUUUAAAAAUAAAUAGACCAUUAAUACCUUUGAAGCUUUUGAGUCUUUAAUUUUAUAAUAAUGUAAUCACUGCCUUUCUUUUUUUUUGCUUCUAUUUGCUAAUACUUAUCUGCCCACACUUUUAUUGACAUUUCUCUAUCAUAUCAUUUUAGAAAUGUUGUUAACCACAUAUAGCUGAAAUUUAUUUUGAACUGAAUGACAGUAUUUUCCUUUUACCUGAGGAACAGGAUUUAGCCUAUUUAUUACUUUCUGAAAUAAGUGAUACACUUGAUCCUCUGUUUUUAUGUUUCUGUUAGCUGUGUUUUAUCUCUUUAUAAGGACUAUAAUUUUAUUUUUCUUAAAUCUACUGCAGUAGGUAUACUCUUUUUUAAAACUUCAUGGGUUGUUAGCUAUUUCUAUAUAAUAAACUACAUUAAAAUAGAGUAGCUAAAACAAAGACAGUUAUUUAACUCGGAUUCAGUAGGCUUGCAAUUUAGGGUGAGUUUCAAUGGCUCAGUUGGAAUCCUGCAUGCACAGAGUAGGGUAGCUCUGCUUCUGGGGUUGGCUGGUUGUCAGCCAUGGUGGCAAAGGGACAGCUGAGCCACAUUUCAUUGAGCAGGCUCAUACUCAAGUUGACUUGACAGCAUUAUAAAGGAAGGGCAGCUAGUGAGAGGAGCCACGGGUCAUGGAGAACAAUUUAUUGGGAAGCCACUUCCUGGGAUUCAAGCUGGGCCUUAAUCAAGGAACAUUACUGCCUCUGAGUAGAAAUAGUUGCUUGGCUGAAUUUUAUAAUGCCAGAUGUGAACAAAAGAAC